rnacentral:rRNA from 1 species
UACGUAGGGGGCAAGCGUUGUCCGGAUUUAUUGGGCGUAAAGAGCGUGUAGGCGGCUUUACAGGUCCGUUGUGAAAACUCGAGGCUCAACCUCGAGACGCCGGUGGAAACCGUAAAGCUAGAGUCCGGAAGAGGAGAGUGGAAUUCCUGGUGUAGCGGUGAAAUGCGCAGAUAUCAGGAAGAACACCCGUGGCGAAGGCGGCUCUCUGGGACGGUACUGACGGCUGAGACGCGAAAGCGUGGGGAGCGAACAGGAU